GAAUCUCGCGCAAUCCCCUACGCCCUCACGUCCGAAUCCACGAAACGCCUCCACUCCGAAUCCACGAAGCUCACGAUCCGAAUCCACGAACCGCCGUCAAUCACGCCGAAUCCACGACGCCGUCAUGAAGAAUAUCAUGAUUAUGGUCAUCCUUCGCUUAGAGUAUCGAUGAAAACCAGGAAAUAGAUCUCCAAGAGAAGCGAAGAUCAAAUCGACAUAUUGAUAUCAAAUUACAAUCUCUCGAUUUGACCUAAAAGAGGCUUUAUGAAGAAAAUAGGUUUUAGAUGAAAUCCGAGCCUCUAGGGUUUCUCAAACAUGUAUUUUUGUGAAACUUCAUAAGUUAGAGAGCCCUAAUAGCUUAUUUAUAGACUUUAGAAUCAAUUGGAGUCGAAUUAGAAAGUUUUCACCGAAAUUUGCAUUGUGUACCGGUACACAUGAGGCUGUCACCGGUACACAAUGACGGAACAGAAAUCUGCGAAGCCAAAGUAAAUUUACGAAACCAAUGUUGAUGGCUGUACCGGUACGGGUCAAUGGCUGUAUCGGUACACAGUGCAUUUUUCAGACUUUGUACUGUUUCGGGUUCCGCAGAGUUUCGAAGUACUUUCUAAUCAACUAGACAUUGAUAAUAAUGAUUCUAAUGCCUAUACUAAGUACGAAUCACCAUAACAUGAAGUAAAGACUUUACCUGAGCAUCGUGAUUCAUGUCGUGAGUUAUCUCCGCCUUCUCCGAAGUCUUGGAUUCUUCGUUCUUCGAUGAUAUGCUCCGAAUCCUUCAAGACUCCGACUCAAUCCAGGAAACUUGCCA
rnacentral:lncRNA from 1 species